rnacentral:rRNA from 1 species
AUGUACACCACAAAAAAGACCCAAUAUAACAAUGUCCGAGCGGACCAAAGAUUUGCCAAUUUGGAUGGCAUUGAUGAUCUUGCUAAAGAGUUGCUGGGCACUAGGAAGCAUCUUGUCUUUCCUUUGGUGUAUCAACUUCUAAAGUUGGUGCAAAUUUUGACAGUUGCCACAAUGUCAGUGGAGAGAUGCUUUUCAGCAAUGAAUACUUCCAAGAGUGUUUUGCGCAACAAAAUGAGUGACGAGUUCAUGAAUGAGUGCUUGAUUUGCUAUGUGGGGAAAUGA